GGACACUGCUGUGUGCUGUGAGGUCAGCAGAGAGGGCGCUCUGCGCGGUGGCCCCCUGCUUCUCACCAAAUGCCAUGUGAACGUGGUGAGGGAGCAGCCCGGAUCAGGGGGCCACAGCUGGCAGCCGGAGAGCAGGGCCUGCAGAACGAGCUCCCAGCUCCCUGACCCGCAGAAGGCAGUACCUGCAGCAUCUGGUCCUGCAAGCGAAGCCAAGCCAGGAAAGAGGGCAGCCCCAGCUGCAGUGCUCACUGCCUCCAACUCCGUGCCCGCAUCUUCUUCAGCACCUCCAUCAUCCCCACUUACCAAUGCUGUCCUAAGCAAGGUGCCUCCACAUCCAUACCAGGAACAAAACCCAUCCUGUCUCCACCUAGUGCAGGAAGGAACAUGUGGGCAAGAAACGGGGGUUCUUGUGGAAUGCAGCGGCAAGAAAUCUACCCUCCGGCAAGUAUUGACAACUACGUGUUCAUAAUGACAUGUUGAAAAAUGCGUUUUGAUUUUUUUUAACACAGAGAAAGUCAUGAAAAUAUCAAACAUGACAGAACUUAAUUAUUAUUGAACAUAUAUGGGUAUUUUGGUCAAGGGACAGCAAUACUGGAUGAGUAAGAAAAUAAAGAUGUGACUAAUUCACAAA